GCAGUCGAGCGCACCUUUUCGGAGGUGAGCGGCGCACGGGUGAGUAACGCGUGGGAACCUACCCUGGGGUAGGGGAUAACCGCUGGAAACGGCGGCUAAUACCCUAUACGUCCUUCGGGAGAAAGAUUUAUCGCCCUGGGAUGGGCCCGCGUCGGAUUAGCUAGUUGGUGGGGUAAAGGCUCACCAAGGCGACGAUCCGUAGCUGGUCUGAGAGGAUGAUCAGCCACACUGGGACUGAGACACGGCCCAGACUCCUACGGGAGGCAGCAGUGGGGAAUAUUGGACAAUGGGCGCAAGCCUGAUCCAGCCAUGCCGCGUGAGUGAAGAAGGCCUUAGGGUUGUAAAGCUCUUUCACCCGCGAAGAUGAUGACGGUAGCGGGAGAAGAGCCCCGGCUAACUCCGUGCCAGCAGCCGCGGUAAUACGGAGGGGGCAAGCGUUGUUCGGAUUUACUGGGCGUAAAGGGCGCGUAGGCGGAUGUUCGCGUCAGAGGUGAAAGCCCCGGGCUCAACCUGGGAACUGCCUUUGAAACGGGACAUCUUGAGUUCGGAAGAGGGUAGCGGAAUUCCCAGUGUAGAGGUGAAAUUCGUAGAUAUUGGGAAGAACACCAGUAGCGAAGGCGGCUACCUGGUCCGACACUGACGCUGAGGCGCGAAAGCGUGGGGAGCAAGCAGGAUUAGAUACCCUGGUAGUCCACGCCGUAAACGAUGUGCGCUAGCCGUUGGGAUGCUUGGCAUUUCGGUGGCGAAGUUAACGCAUUAAGCGCACCGCCUGAGGAGUACGGCCGCAAGGUUACAACUCAAAUGAAUUGACGGAA
rnacentral:rRNA from 1 species